rnacentral:rRNA from 1 species
AGGACGAACGCUGGCGGCGUGCUUAACACAUGCAAGUCGAGCGGAAAGGCCAUUUCGGUGGUACUCGAGCGGCGAACGGGUGAGUAACACGUGAGUAAUCUGCCCCUGGCUUUGGGAUAGCCACCGGAAACGGUGAUUAAUACCGGAUACGACCCGCCCUCGCAUGGGGGUGUGUGGAAAGUUUUUUGGCCAGGGAUGUGCUCGCGGCCUAUCAGCUUGAUGGUGGGGUAAUGGCUCACCAUGGCUUCGGACGGGUAGCCGGCCUGAGAGGGUGACCGGUCACGACUGGGACUGAGACACGGCCCAGACCUCCGUACGGGAGGCAGCGAGGUGGGGAAUAGUUGGACAAGUGGGACGGUAAGCCCUAGACUCCGAGGACCGAACCGGCCGGACGUCGGGA